rnacentral:rRNA from 1 species
AGAGUUUGAUCCUGGCUCAGGACGAACGCUGGCGGUGUGCUUCACACAUGCAAGUCGAACGAGGUAGCAAUACCUAGUGGCGGACGGGUGAGUAACACGUGGGAAUCUUCCUUUGGGUGGGGGAUAGCAGGCCGAAAGGCCUAUUAAUACCGACUAUAUGUGCAUAUUUCGACAGAGGUAUGCAUGAAAGCAGUAAUGCGCCCGAAGAUGAGCCCGCGCCCGAUUAGCUAGUUGGUAGUGUAACGGACUACCAAGGCUACGAUCGGUAGGUGGUCUGAGAGGAUGAUCACCCACAAUGGGACUGAGACACGGCCCAUACUCCUACGGGAGGCAGCAGUGGGGAAUUUUACGCAAUGGGGGAAACCCUGACGUAGCGACACCGCGUGAGCGAUGAAGCCCCUUGGGGUGUAAAGCUCUGUCGGCUGGGACGAAAAAAUUGACGGUACCAGCAAAGGAAGCAUCGGCUAACUACGUGCCAGCAGCCGCGGUAAGACGUAGGAUGCAAGCGUUGUCCGGAUUCAUUGGGCGUAAAGCGUUCGUAGGUGGUUUAUUAAGUCUGAUGUUAAAGAUCGGGGCUCAACCUCGGGAGUGCAUUGGAUACUGGUAGACUUGAGUAUGGUAGAGGCGAGUGGAAUUCCCAGUGUAGCGGUGAAAUGCGUAGA